CAACGAAGAAGAGGACAUGUUAUAAACAGCUGUGGACACACAGUCAGGGGAAGCUAACAGUUUAGCAUCUGUCUAAAUAUAAAUGUCAUUUAUUUCUGAGUUUAAUGGCGGCGAAGACGAAAAAAACAACAACAGAAUGACUAAUAUACGUGUCGUGUAACUGCCAUUUGCUUCGGUGCUAGCUGCAUUUAGUCAGCCGAAGCGGGUUAGCUGGGCUUAGCUUAGGUUAGCUUAGCUUAGCUUAGCUGUCGCCGGGUUGUUUUUAUUCUCUCGAAAAGUGUCUUUUUGUCUUAAAACACAUGAGUGUGUCGCUGGUCGUUAUCCGUCUGGAAUUAGCCGACCAGUCUCCUUCUCCGCAAGGUUUCCAGUAUUCUGCAGAAGGCAUGUCUGACGAGGAGCUGCAGGAGAAAUCUCUGGGUUUGGCCAAACACACUCUGAGCGGGAAGAGCGACCUGGAGAGAUCGGCCGUCCUGCACCAGCACAUCGGCAGCAGAGCCAUGGGCGACAUGGUCAUAGAGACGUUUGAGCCGAGCCCAGAUAAAGGCGGCGGUGACGAGCCGAGCGCUGAACUUCAGGGAGCAAAGAGCGAAGCGGACGGUCGGGAUGAAGCCGAGAGUUCGGCUCCAGAUUCUCCGUCCAAGCAGCUUCCCGACCAGAUCUCCUUCUUCAGCGGGAACCCGUCGGUGGAGAUCAUCCACGGCAUCAUGCACCUCUACAAGACCAAUAAAAUGACGUCUCUGACUGAGGACGUGAGACGCAGUGCGAUGGUCUGUAUCCUGACCGUCCCGGCCACCAUGACCAGCCACGACCUCAUGAAGCUCCUGGCUCCGUUCAACGACGUCAUGGAGCACAUGAAGAUCAUCCGGGACUCGACCCCCAACCAGUACAUGGUCCUCAUUAAAUUCUCCUCACAGGCAGACGCAGACAGUUUCUACACAGCGUGUAACGGACGCCAGUUCAACUCCAUAGAGGACGCAGUGUGUCAGCUGGUCUACGUGGAAAGAGCCGAAGUUAUAAAGUCUGGAGAGGGAGCCAGUCUGCCCGUGAUGGAGUUGACCGAGUUGCCGAAAUGCACCGUGUGCCUGGAGAGGAUGGACGAGUCCGUUAACGGCAUCCUCACCACGCUCUGCAACCACAGCUUCCACAGCCAGUGUCUGCAGCGCUGGGAAGACGCCUCGUGUCCUGUGUGCAGAUACUGUCAAACCCCAGAACCGGUGGAAGAGAACAAAUGCUUCGAGUGUGGCGUUCAGGAGAACCUGUGGAUCUGUUUGAUCUGCGGCCACAUCGGUUGUGGUCGCUACGUUAGCCGUCAUGCCUACAAGCACUUUGAGGAGACGCAGCAUACGUACGCUAUGCAGCUCACCAACCACCGAGUCUGGGACUACGCAGGAGAUAACUAUGUGCAUCGUCUCGUGGCCAGUAAAACUGAUGGUAAGAUGGUUCAGUACGAAUGUGAAGGAGACACCUGCCACGCAGAGAAAAUCGACGCCCUUCAACUGGAGUACUCGUACCUGCUGACCAGUCAGCUGGAGUCUCAGAGGGUUUACUGGGAGAACAAGAUCGUUCAUCUGGAGAAGGAAACAGCCGAGGAGAUAAACAACAUGAAGUCCAAGUUCAAGGAGAUGAUGGAGCGAUGCGAUAACCUGGAGCAACGUUUAGGAGAGAUAACCAAAGAGAAGCAGGGCGUCGAGAAAAAAUGCACUCAGCUGAGCGGUCGAGUGGUGAAGCUGAGCCAGGAGCUGAAGGAGGAGCAGGAGAUGAAUCACUGCCUCCGAGCUAAUCAGGCUCAGCUACAGGCCCAGUUAGCAGAGGAGGAGCGCAAAGGAAAAGAAACCGGUGAGCGUAAGGACGAGGCCAUCGCCGAGCUCCAGGAGCAGCUGAGAGACGUGAUGUUUUACCUGGAGACGCAGCAGCAGAUCGAACAUCUGCCUCCGGAGGCGCGAAGUGAAAUCCAGGAGGGUCAGAUCAACAUCCCGGCCGCGGCGUCCGACGCCGACGCCGCCGCCGGCCGAGGCAGGAGGGGGCGGGGCCGGAAGAGGAAGUAGGCGGAGCUAGGAACUGUUUCACAGCCGAACCUCGUCUUUUUUUUUUUUUUUUAAACGUAAACGCGUCUUCGCCAAACGUGGUGGUUCCCUCAGAACGCACUCCCAGACCAGACGACGGGAUCCUCAGAGGAAGAGUUCGGCCUUUAGAGGCGUCGGUUGGAGUUAAUGAGUCCAGGGGCAGAAGUCAGGGCAGGAGGAGCAGGAGCAGUAUUUCCUGUAGCGCUCCUCUUUAAGGAGGAGGUGAAGCCAGGUGAAGCCUCCAUCCUCGUCCGUCCCGUCCCGUCCUGUAUACACAGACCACAGAGGCCAUAUUUUGAAAACAUCCUUCAACUUAAAUCUGACCCUGAGCCGGAACGAGCGUAAAGAUACGACGAGUGGAUGGGCCACGUUUAAUGUCUCGGAGACGCUUAAAGGAACUCGUUUCAUUUGCUGUCGAUUCUUAUGUUAAAUUCUGCAUAUUUAAGAAAUGAAAGCGGUGCUAGCGGUUUAUGCUAAGCUAACACGUAGCUUCAUAGUCCCAGCAAGGUGAUAAAUAAAUAAAUUAAUAAAAUAAUAAGAUGUCAGUUAGCUUAGCUUAGCAUUAAGCCCAGAAAUGGAGACGGCUAACCUGUUUCUGCCUAAAGGAAUCAAGCUAAUUACACUGUUAAAAGGUGAAUCUUCGCUAAGCUAAGCUAAGCUAACACAUAGCUUCAUAGUCCCAGCAAGGUGAUAAAUAAAUUAAUUAAUAAACUAAUAAGAUGUCAGUUAGCUUAGCUUAGCAUUAGCCUGUUUCUGCCUAAAGGAAUCAAGCUAAUUACACUGUUAAAAGGUGAAUCUUCGCUAAGCUAAGCUAACACAUAGCUUCAUAGUCCCAGCAAGGUGAUAAAUAAAUUAAUUAAUAAACUAAUAAGAUGUCAGUUAGCUUAGCUUAGCAUUAGCCUGUUUCUGCCUAAAGGAAUCAAGCUAAUUACACUGUUAAAAGGUGAAUCUUCGCUAAGCUAAGCUAAGCUAACACAUAGCUUCAUAGUCCCAGCAAGGUGAUAAAUAAAUUAAUUAAUAAACUAAUAAGAUGUCAGUUAGCUUAGCUUAGCAUUAGCCUGUUUCUGCCUAAAGGAAACAAGCUAAUUACACUGUUAAAAGAUGAAUCUUCGCUAAGCUAAACUAAGCUAAGCUAACACGUAGCUUCAUAGUCCCAGCAAGGUGAUAAAUAAAUAAAUUAAUAAACUAAUAAGAUGUCAGUUAGCUUAGCUUAGCAUUAGCCUGUUUCUGCCUAAAGAAAACAAGCUAAUUAUACUGUUAAAAGAUGAAUCUUCGCUAAGCUAAACUAAGCUAAGCUAACACGUAGCUUCAUAGUCCCAGCAAGGUGAUAAAUAAAUAAAUUAAUAAACUAAUAAGAUGUCAGUUAGCUUAGCUUAGCAUUAGCCUGUUUCUGCCUAAAGGAAUCAAGCUAAUUACACUGUUAAAAGGUGAAUCUUCGCUAAGCUAAGCUAACACGUAGCUUCAUAGACCCAGCAAGGUAAUAAAUAAAUAAAUGAAUAAAAUAAUAACAUUUUUUUUUAGCCUCGUCAUCGGAUUAGCUGCUUUAAGUAAACAGGAAGUGGUUCAUCGUGCAGCCGCUGACCUUUAGAAACAUCUCGACCGGCCUCAAGGCUCCGGUUUUGGUUUUAGUUUUCAAACUGAGGGGGAGGAGGAAGGUUAUUCCGCUACAGCCACACCUUCUGCAUCUGAAGACGUCGCCUUCUGAUUUAAAGCUGCCGACGCAGAACACGCGCUUCUCGCUUUCUUGACACCUAAUUGCUAAAAAUAAACCUUUUAUCUGCAGCAUCGCAUCAAGGUGCAGCUUUUCGCUGCCGUAACGUAUCGACAUCUGAGAGGAAGAGGCCGAGCGCCACGCUUCCUACCUCAACCUUAACAGUUUACUCGUUGGACGUAAACUGUGUACAGAGUCGGGGUGUAGCUUCUCACAGAGAUACACUAAAGCAGGAUUCCAAAAAUAUAUAUAAAUCUUUAAGAGUGACGCCACCUGCACGUUUUCAGUCCAAAAUUAGUCACAGGCGUCUACAAACAGGUUUUUUUUAUGAAUGCCGCUUACUCCCACAUGUUAGUUACUGGCAGGGUGGAUAUAACGUAUCAGUCUAGUCCUGCAUGAACACUAAGAACAAGAUUUAUUCUGACAUGUGCAGGCGUAGGCAAAUGAGAUGCUAUGCAAACACUGGACACACCUCUCGCUUUUCUAUUUAUAUCCAAACGCGACCUUGUGCAUUCUAGGCCUGGAACUGAGUGUCCACUCGGAGCUGUUGAAUAAUCUUUUGUUUUUUUUGGUUUUUUAAAUCAUCUGAGCAGAAAAUGGCUUCAUUAUUUUCUGGCUGAGACGCUUCAGUCACAGACUCUUUGUUGCUGCUUCUCUAAAACGAAACCAUGAAUGAAUGAUAAUAUUUGAAUACUUUGAUUAAUAUUCAGUUAACGAAACAUGCGCUACCUUUUGAUACGCCCGAUGCUUAUGCAACACUCACUUAUUAGCCCAUUAGAAGGUGAAUUGUAGUGUUUGCUAACCCCUCUGAGCUAAGCUAAGCUAUCAGACUCUAGGUUUUCUCUGAAUAACGUUAGCUAGAUGUUUGUUUCUGGUCUUUUUUUGUCAGGAUUAAGAGAAGAAAGUCAAUACCGUUCUCGUGUUUGUACGUUAAAUAUGAAGUCGUAGUCAGUUAGCUUCUCUCAGCUUAGCUUAGCUUAGCAUUAAGCCCAGACAUGGAGACGGCUAACCUGUUUUUGCCUAAAGGAAACAAGCUCGCUAAUUACACUGUUGAAAGGUGAAUCUUCUCUUUUAUGGUUAUUUUUUACAAAGUAAACUAUCCAUAACGUGUUAGCUAACUGCUUCAGUUACUAGUCUUUGUGCUAUGCUAAGCUAGCUGGAUCUCAGUUGCCGCUUUGCAUGGACGCAUUUUCUCAACAUAUACUUAGACUUUUCCCAAACUUCUGUUUUUGUACAAAUCAUCCAAUCAACACGUAACAUGUUCGUUAUGUUCUCUGCUAUUAGUUUUUAUGCUAAGCUAAGCUACACAAGCGCUUGUGUUUGGUUAAACUAGCCAGCUCAUAUCUGUAGCUUUGUAUUUAUAUAAAGUUACAUUUUUUUACCCCUAAAUUUUGUUUUUGCCCAAAAUAAACAAUCAUCAGAUAACAUGUCA